rnacentral:tRNA from 1 species
CGGGCAGUAGCUCAGUGGUAGAGCUCACGCUUCGUAUGUGGGAAGACCUGGGUUCGGUCCCGGCUGCUUAC